GCUGGGUUUGGGGAGGCGACGUUUCUGGAAGCUGCUGGAAAGCGCCCGAGUGGCGGAGGUGGCGCCAGCGGCCAGGGGGUGGGGCGUGAUUAAAACUAGUGCGCGGCUUUCUGCGGAGGGAUUACGCUGACGAAAGAGACCUGCUUGCGCGUCGCUGUUCCGUGGUCCGCGCGAGCGUGGUCGGGAGCCGCUGGUUCCUGGGGUGACCCGCGGAGGUGGGAGAGGGAAGGGCUUCCGAAGCCGGCGGGGGUGCCAUGGACCCUCUCCGCCGGCGCGGCCUUCACAGCUGGGCCGCGCCGGGCAUCCGUAGUCCGCUCUCCCAAAGCCUCGGUGGAGCUGAAGCUGCCACAGAGUGCAUGUUCACAAAGGGUCAUCACACACGGAGCUGCCCCUCCCUGUCUCCCUAGAGCCCAUCUUCGAGGCCAGGGGCUUUUCUACCAGGAUUCUGGGGUGUUUCUCCUCCUUUCCUCCCUCCCAGAUCUUCUCACGGUAACACAUUCAUUCACGUGGUUCAAAAUUCAAAAGGUACAAAAGGAUACUCAGUCAUUUUCUGCCUAGGAAGCAACCAGUGCUACCAGUUUCUGGUAUAUUUUUCAGAAAAAUUUUACACAUAUCUUUAUUAAAGAGCAUUGUGCAAUGAAGACCUUUCUACGUACAUCAUUCUCCACAUAUGUGAAUAUAUUUGUGCCCUAGCCAAUGGUACGGCUGGGUCCUGUCUACUUUGACUUAUGUGUUCUCCAUGCCAGUAUUGUAUAGUGGAGUCAACACCCUGUUGACUCUAAAGUAAGCAUAUGAGAUAAAUCACAUCACCUGAAUGGCUGUUUUUUCAUGUGAGCCCUGAGAGCAU
rnacentral:lncRNA from 1 species